rnacentral:rRNA from 1 species
AUUGAACGCUGGCGGCAGGCCUAACACAUGCAAGUCGAACGGUAACAGGAAGAAGCUUGCUUCUUUGCUGACGAGUGGCGGACGGGUGAGUAAUGUCUGGGAAACUGCCUGAUGGAGGGGGAUAACUACUGGAAACGGUAGCUAAUACCGCAUAACGUCGCAAGACCAAAGAGGGGGACCUUCGGGCCUCUUGCCAUCGGAUGUGCCCAGAUGGGAUUAGCUAGUAGGUGGGGUAACGGCUCACCUAGGCGACGAUCCCUAGCUGGUCUGAGAGGAUGACCAGCCACACUGGAACUGAGACACGGUCCAGACUCCUACGGGAGGCAGCAGUGGGGAAUAUUGCACAAUGGGCGCAAGCCUGAUGCAGCCAUGCCGCGUGUAUGAAGAAGGCCUUCGGGUUGUAAAGUACUUUCAGCGGGGAGGAAGGGAGUAAAGUUAAUACCUUUGCUCAUUGACGU